UGGGGUGUAGCCAAGUGGUAAGGCAGCGGAUUUUGAUUCCGCCAUUCGGAGGUUCGAAUCCUCCCUCCCCAG
rnacentral:tRNA from 1 species